GCUGCUCUGCUUAUGGAGUAGCCAUUCUUUAUUUCUUUACUUUCUUAAUAACUUACUUGCUUUCACUUUACUCUAUGGACUUGCCCCAAAUUCUUUCUUGUGGGAGAUCCAAGAACACUCUCUUGGGGUCUGGAUCAGGACCCCUUUCUUAUAACACCACCACCUGCUUUCUUGGGUCUCCAGCUUGCAGAUGGCAGAUUGUGGGACUUACUUCUUAGCCUUCAUAACUGCAUGACUAAUUUAUCAUAUUAAAUCUUAUUUUCUUUAUAUAUAUCUCCAUCCUACUGGUUUCUCUGGAGAACCCUAAUACAUUUCCCAUCUCUCUGCAGCUAGAAUCAGCCAGAAACAUAUAAGGAGACUCCACCAGGAGUGGGGAGUUCUUGGGAAAGCUUUUGCUUCUGAAAAAAGAUAAAAGUACACAGGAGAGCUGUCUGGUGCCAUUCCUUGAGCAUGUGAGAGACUGUGUCACCGGGAGCAGCAGUUAUCUGUGGCCAUAAGUUGAGAUGACUGGAUGAAAUGCUAACAUGUUGAGAAGGGACUGUGUUAAUGAUUCCCAACCAUCAGCAUCGAAGAAGAGGUCCGGAAGAAUGUGAAGAAUGCUAAGUCUUGUGUGGAGAAUAGAGGGGAGCAUGAAGACAAUCCACAGCCUGCAGGCAGGGACUUCAUGGACACUCUACAUUGUGCAGCAGCCACAGAAUUCAGCCACAGGUGCCAGCUGGACAAUGCAUAGGAGUGAAUGAGACAGAAAGCAAGACCAUGAGGAUGACUAAGAAGAGCAAGUACAACAUGGCUGAGACUAAGUGUCCAGGGAGUUGAGAAUAAGUGGCCUAUUGUCAUGUCCUAUAUAAGUAGAGUAUAUGGAUGGGAGGCCAAGAAUACACCAACAAAUAAAAUAUUGAAUAUAUCGGUCAAGGGCAUAUCGAGAUGAUCAGGAUGCUGCCUAUUGGAAUGUUUAUCCUCCCACCCUACCCCAGAAGAGGAGCUUCUCGUCUUGUUCACCGCUGUUUCCCAGCUCCUGGAAGAGCCUGGCACAUAAAAGGUGCACAAUGAACAUUCAUUAAAAUCAAUGAUUAAUUGAACUGGCUAGUAUUCCAUCUCACUUUCAUUACUGGAGAACUGAAGAGCCAGCUAGCCUACAAAAACUCAUUCUGGAUGUAGAAGCAAUAAGAAAACAUGCAUUCAAAUAAAAGCAGAGAAUCCUUCUAAUAUUUCUUCAUGUGUCUAUCUUUUCCCAUCCCCAACACAUUUAUUUUCCUUGACCUACAAAGGAUCUGUUUUGUCCAUGAUGAGUCCC
rnacentral:lncRNA from 1 species